rnacentral:misc_RNA from 2 species
CCCAACUAUCCCUAUUAAUCAUUACGUCGAUCCUAGAAACCAACAAAAUAGAAUCAAACGUCCUAUUUCAUUAUUCCAUGCUAAUGUAUUCAAGCGUGAGCCUGCUUUAAACACUCUAAUUUUUUCAAAGUAACAGUCCUGAUUCCCCACAACACCAAAUAAAUGACAUCAUGGUUCGUCAGAAGGGAGAAACCAACAAUACCAGUACGUACCGAGGCACGACCGACAUGAUGGUCCCGAAAUUCAACUACGAGCUUUUUAACUGCAGCAACUUUAAUAUACGCUAUUGGAGCUGGAAUUACCGCGGCUGCUGGCACCAGACUUGCCCUCCAA